AGGGGCGUAGUUCAAUUGGUAGAGCACCGGUCUCCAAAACCGGGUGUUGGGGUUCGAGUCCCUCCGCCCCUGCCA
rnacentral:tRNA from 1 species